rnacentral:sRNA from 1 species
AGACCUCAGCCCAAACCUUCUCUGCAACGUCGUAUGUCCUGUCAAUGCCGUGUUCUCCGUCCAACAUAAUCUCUGGCUCCACAAUCGGCACCAGACCGCUGUCCUGUAGAACACAAACUCAAACGC